AUCAAGCAUGAGGUUUCUGAGAAGUUGACAGCCGUGGAUGCCCUGGAACUGAAGUCGGGAGCGCCAGGAGCUAGCGAGGCUGCCCUGCGAGACCGCCUCCACCAACUGGAAGCACAGGUCUCCCAAGUGGCCGGCGCCAGAGCUACCCAGCUGGAGACUCUGGAAGAGUACAACACCCUGGCUGGACAGGUGGACGUGAGACUGAACGCCGUUGAGUCGUCGCUGGACAGCACACAGCGCCCGACAGUGGGCGACGCCAAGCAACGCUUGCAGACACUCAACGUCUUGCUGGAUGAGGUGAACAGCAUCGGCGGUGAUGUGGCCGACCUCAGGGGCAAGAUUGCCGUCCUCACCAAGUGCCUCGAGCCAGACGACAAGGCCAAGUGCGAUGACCAACUCAAGUGCCUUGAAGGAAAGUGCGACGAGUUGCGCAAACGGAUCCUGCGCCGAACCAAGAGCCUGGACCUGAUCCAGAAUGGACUGGACGCUCUGUACUCCGAAGCGGCCACCACAGAGAAGUGGCUCUUGGAGAAACAAGCAUCCUUGGAGCAGUUGCCGAACCCUGGCUACCAGAGCUCCAGCGUUGAGGCGGCACUGCAGGCAAUGAAGGCCGAGCAGCGGCAGGUGGAGAACAAGCGAGCCGUGGUGCAGGACUUUGAGAAGCGCAUCGAGUCCUUCUCACACGAGCUGGACAGCUUGGACGCUCAGCAGCUCGAGCAGAUGAUGCAGGACCUGAAGACGCGCUUCGCCGACCUGCUCAACCUUCUGGCAUCGCACACCGGCAGCCUGACGGAGCUGCUCAACAAGACGUGUCGCCUCGACGACGAGCUCGAGAUUGUGCGGCAGUGGCUCCGUGAGAAGGAACAGGACUUGCGGAGGGUCGGGGCUCCCGCGCAGGAUGCCGAUGAUGCCAGGAACCUUCUCAGCUCCGUUCAGGCUAUGCAGAAGGAAGUGAAGAACUUCGAAGAAACCAGGUUGGCCGGACUCGUGAAGCUCGCGAAGGACCUUGAACCCGGGUGUGAGCCUGAGGACUGCGCAGCCUUGCAAAAGCUUGUCCAGGAACCAGUGGACAAGGUGAAGGAGCUCCAGCAGAGCCUGGCCGAGCGCCUGAAGCAGUUGAAGGAGCUGGUGCAGCUGUACGACGAGUACCAGAAGGCCCUGUCGGCCGUCAAGUCGCUGCUGAGCGAGAGGGAGGCCUCGCUGGCAGCCGACCUGCUCCUCACCACGAGCGAGGACGUGAUCCGAGAGCAGCUCGACACGCACCGUCGGCUGCAGGAGAGUGGCGGCCGCCUCUCUGCUGACCUGUCCAAGAUGCAGAAGCUGGCCUCCAAGCUCGGCCCCGCCGCUGGCGCCAACCGAGACAUACGCGUUCUCACCGAGACGAAGGACAGACUGGACAAGCUGCUAUCUGACCGCAUCACUUCCUUGGAGGAGGCCCUUGCGGAACUCCAACAGCAGCGGACCACGCUGAAUCAGUGCAGCGAGGAACUGGAUGACCUGUGCCGACGUCUCGAGGCACUCGGCGGUCCAUUGGGCCCAGCUGUCCAAGACGCAGAGGUCCUGCUCUCGGCACUACAGAAGGUGCAGACGGAACUGAAGGACCUGCAAAGCCGCCUGGAGCGCAUGCAGGGACCCGGCCCCCUGUCCGAAGCCGUCGGGCGGCUGCUGGAGCGCUGCGAAGCCACCUUGCAGAAGACCCAGGGCCAACUGGGCCGUGCCAAGCAGGCCCUGUCACUACGGCAGCAGUAUCACCAGCUGCGGGAGCAAGUGGCACAGGCCAUUGCCCGGCUCACCGACACCGUGGCCGUCCUCGAGAAGGCCAAGAAGCCAGCCGCCGAAAAGCUACCUCAGUACGACAACCUGCUGGCUCAAGUGGCCGAUGCCGAAGGUCAGCUGACCUCGGCCCAGGACAAGGGAGAGGCCCUGGCAGAGGAGGGGUCGUCGGCCGACCACAACGCCAUCCUGGGCGACCUGGGCAACCUGAAGAGCCAGCUGGCCUCCCUGCGCAAGUCCAUCCAGAACCUGAAAACGCAAGAACAGGGUCUGCUGGCCGAGCAGGAGCGCCAGCUCCAGGCCCUGGAGAAGACCCUGCAGGACCUGCGCGCAGACGAAGCGCAGGCUCGUGGCCGUCCCGCGCUGACUAUGCAGCCCGAGAGCAUAGAUGCCGAGCUGGAAAGUCACAAGGAACUGCAGCGCCAGUCGGAGGAGCACCUGGAAGAGGCACGCAAGCUGGAAGAGCAGCUGUUCAAGGAACUGCCCAGCGAGCUGCUGGCCAGUCGCGCCCAGGAGGAGCUCAGCGAACUGGCCCUGCUGCGAUCCACGCUGCCCCAGCAGUUGCAGGAGCGUGGCCACUACCUGGGUUGUGCCCAGGCCCUGCGCCGGGACUACUGGGCACAGCGGGACGCCCUGGUGGACUGGCUCGACCGCGCCGAGCGCGUCGUGGCCGCCGCCAGGGACGGCGUCGACCUGGACGGCCUCGACGCCCGCUGCAAGGAGCUCAGGGACGUGUGCUCUGAAACAGCCGGCUACAGCGAAUGCCUCCGCAGCCUGCAGGCACUGCUAACACAGAUACGUCCGACCAUGGACCCCGAAGCGUCUCAGCUGCCCGAACAGGAACUCGCCACCCUGCAGCAGCGGCUGACCGCACUCAGUGCCAACGCGCGGGCUGCCCUCGACACUGCGCAGAACGACCUGGCCUCCUGGGCCAGCUUCGGCAAGCUCCGCGAGCAGCUCGAGGCACUCCUAGCCACUCUCGAGCCCUCGGAGGAGAAGCCUGCGUCCAUCCGCGCGCUGAGGAAGGCGUUGCAGUCGUUGGGACGCCUUCAGGAGGAGGCACAGCGCAGUCAGCCGUUGCUGGCACAGCUCUCGGAGGCGGCCCGGGUCCUGGAGAGAAAGUCCGGACCCGCCACAAGGGACCUGCCCGGCAAUCAAGCCAAGACCCUGAGCAAGCGAUGGCAAGAGGCCAUGGACGACAUACAGGCCCGAAAGGAGAGGAUGUCCAAGGCCCUGGCCGACUGGGAGGCAUACUCGCAGGCUCUCGCCCGCGCCCGGACGACCCUUGAAGCCAGAGAACACGACCUGGCAGCCAUUCAACCACUCUUGCUUGAUGUGACCGCCGCUGAAAAUGCACUGGAGAGUCUGCUGUCUCAGGUGACCGGAGAGCCCCUGGGCGCCCAGGUGGAGGAAGCCGGCCGUAAGGCGGAACCCGUGUUGUCCUACCUCGACUGGGCUUCGCAGCCGGCCGCCACCGGGCUCAGGAACGAACUCCAGGCGCUGCGCGACCGCCACUCACAGCUGCAGAAGUCCAUUGAGCAGCAUCUGCAGGGUGUCCGUGAGGAGAGGGCAGCUCAGGCUGCCUUCGAGGAGAAGGUUGCUUCCCUUCGGGAAGGCCUGCUCGAGAUGGAGAGGGACAUUGGAGCAGCCCCCACCUGUGGGGAAGAUGAGGACCAGGUCCAGAAGAAUCUCCAGAUGCUCCGCGAGCGUCUCAGCUUCCUGGACCGGGAGGUGCGAGCCACAUCCCGCUCGGCGCACGAGCGUUACAGCGAGCGCCGGCAGGGUGUGCCGGAGGUCGUGGAGCAGGCUCUGGCCUCCGUCGAGCUCCUCUCGGAGAACGUGAUGGCUGCCCUCGAAGGAAAGGAGCGCGAGUUCAAGAAGGCACGCACUGCGCGGGCCGACUACUGCGAGGGAUCCAAGGCCCUGGCAGCAUGGCUGCAAAAGGCUCAGGGGAUCCUGCAGAGGAAAGGAGACUCUCCUGAAGUCACCAAGGAGAACCUUGUGGCCCUCAAUGCUGAAGUGCCCGGAGUGCGUCGGGACGCAGAGCGCCGCGUCGUACAGAGUGGCAACCUUGUUGUCGAAUGUCUGGGUGACACCGAACAGGCCAAGUCGGUGCGCGCCACCAUCACAUCUCUUACAGACCAAUUGCAACAGGUGGAGUCGUGGAUCCGGGAGCGCCUCAGCGAGGUGGAAGAUGCCCUGGAGGCGUGGGCCCGAUUCCUGCAACUCCACGAAGCACACAAGACAUGGCUGGACAUGAAGGAGCUGGCAGUGGCCAAGCGUCAGCCACUCAACACACUGGCCGUGGCAAGGCAGUGCCUGUCCCAAUGCCAGGAGGUUAACCGGGACAUGGCAAGCGGCCAGGGCCAGCUGGCGGAAAUGAGCAGUCUGGUGCAGCGCAUCGGCCGCUCCUGCCACGUGGGGCCGCUGCUGGAAAAGCUGGACGCGGCCGAGGAACGACAGCGCAACCUCGAGGGCCGCCUCGUCCAGGAGCUGGCCCUGCUGCAGGAGCUGGUCGAAGAGUGGGAGCAGUGUGAGCGCAAGGCCCGCGACUGCCAGACAUGGUUGGAGCGAACACGCUCGUCCCUCGAGGCACCUCAGCUUCGGCGAAAGAGCCUGCGUGACCAACUUGCCUUGCGUGAGAAAAUGCUGGCCGAUCUUUCCAGCCAGCAGACCAAGAUGGCCAUGUCGCUGGAGAAACUGCGGGUUCACCUCCGCGGCUGGUCGUCGUACGCACCCGAGGAGAACGCCAUGGUGGCCACGGUGCAGGAGAUGUCGCGGCAACUGCAGGGGCUGCAGGAAAAGCUGGACAGCCGCUGCCAGGAGCUGUCUGCCUGCCUCGCACAGGACGAGCAAUAUAGUCAAGAUCUCCUUCACGUGAGACAGCUGCUGUCUCAAUCGGAACACCGUCUGAAGUUGGCUCUCGGCGCUAUCGGUAAUACGCCUGCGGAACGCACUCUGAACCUCAAACUCCAGGAGGGGGCGGACGUACCAAGCCAAACAAUCCCGAAGCUUUCCGGCCAAGCUCCGGGUUCGUUUAUGGACGUCCCCGCCAGCCAGGAGUACAUGGCGUUCUACCAGUCUAGACCGCAGACCGUUGUGACGCGAGAGCAGCGGCCAGACGGGACCUCUCAGGUGACUCGCACCACCACCAGGCUCGUCUCGGCAGUCAGCACGGGACACACAGGCGGUCAGCCACGUCCAGAAAUAGACGGAGGCCACCAGUCUUGGCAGCUCUCGGAAUCGUUUAGAUCUCUUACAAGCCCCGAUGGCAUUCAAGCAUACACGGCAAACCUGGAGCCUCAACAGAGAGUGGGACAGACGACCACGGCUAGCACUGUCAGCGGCGCCUGGAGUUCCGAACACGACAGCCCCUUGUGGGAGUCCUGGCAGUCCCAGCCCACGGAAGGACACGCGCGUUUCGGCACCAGUUGGGUUGUGACGCGUCAUGAUCGCAGCCCCUCCCCCAUGCCUUUCCUUGCAGCUGCGCACCCUACGCACGACACAACCGACACACACCCCCAGGUGGUCAUGGCGACUACUGGAGAGCCCGCACUGAGCAGCUUGCCGGGAGAGCCUAGGAUAGUUAGCGACACCUCUGUUGACGAUGAGCUCAGGGCACUGUCGUCGCUUGCCGGCAGGCAAGAGUUGGCACCCAGCGAGGUGAAGCUGGUGGAGAGCGAUUUUAAGAGGGAGGUGGAACCACUGAACCUGGUGUCCUCGAGGGUCGUGCAAGACACGGAGGAGAGGAAGACCAUCGAGCUGAAAUUCCAGGAAAAGGUUCAGCUUGUUCACUACUCGUUCCAACUUCCGUCCUUCGCAGAAUUCGUGGAAGUGCCGGAAGAAGGCCUCCAGGAGGUGAGGCCUCUGGACAGCACGGGCAUGGACGGUGUUGCUGCAAGUGCAGCGCCCGGUGAGAAACAAAGUGCAACUGAAAGAUACAGUGUGAGGUUGCAAGGAUCUGAAGUGGACACCAGGAAGUUGGUGGAAGGGAUCAGUGCGCCCGAAACGGUAAGUGAUGUAGUGUCUACGCGGCACAGCCAGGGCUGGACACCUAGUCUGGUUGUUGAUGGAGGUGCCACAGUUCCUGCCAAACCUCCUACUGGUAUUGACGAGCCCAAAACAACAUCAAAACAAGAACCCAGCAUCCACACCCCUCAGCAUCAGCAAAGGGCAGCUGACACGAUGCCAGCAGAAACUGGUAAGGGAGUCACGAGCACUUUAGUUUUUCCGGCUGAUACGGAAAUCGACACAUCUCGAUCCGAGACCCAGUGCAAAGUCAUCAGCCGUACCACCGUUACGGUUAGGCAGCUGUCGCCUGGCGAAGGCUCGACAGCUGCCGACCCCAGCCGCUCAUUCCCGAUUGCCAAGCUCACCGAGGAAACAGGUAAGGAAGGCCAGAAGGAAGAACCAGUGCUCAUGACUCCAAAACCAGGCACCGCCGAGGUUGAUGCUGUGGUUGUCAAAAGUCGGAUCUCCAAAUCACCUGCUCGUGGACUCUCAACAAGCACAACAGACGUGGGCACAACUGUGUAUGCUGUAACCAGCGAACUACUUUCGGGAGCACCACAGCAACCGACCGAUGCGAAAGCUCUCGAAGAACAGGAGAAGGAAAAGGCUAACGGGCAUCCGAAACAUCUCAAGCUUCAAAAGAAAGAAAGUCCACUUCCGUCAGUUACAGUCACCAAGACACUGCCUGGGCAACACGAUGUUGAUUCUGAAAAGCCUACACCAUUGUCUGAGACUGGCAAAGAGCCAAUUGGGAAGCCUUUGCCGUCUCAGCCUCAACCAGACCACAGCACCCCACUGCUGGCAACCGAAACUGGGAAACCGACAGACCCAGAAGGUGAAGAGAGAAAGGCAAUAGGUGACGAUGCCCCCACUAAUGGUGAACCUAAGCACCUGAAGAAGAGUUCCAAGAAAAAGAAGAAGGACCACUCUCCAUCUCCAGCUCCCCAAGUCCAAGACACGAAAACGUCAAGCAAUCCACUGGACAGGUUCGGCAAGAAAGUGAAGAAGUUUGCAAUGAACCUGUUCUCUGGAGACAGCAAGCAUCCUUCUGAGGUGAUUCCUACAGACGACGCAAAGAAGGAGCAGCCUGUCCAGCCAGAUGUUGAAACAAAGAAGGACAAAAAGAAGAAAUCUAAAAAGAAAAACAAGGCUCCCCUUCCAGAAGAGCAAGCUCCAGUAACACCAUCAAGGGCCGAGACGGACGACAAACGUGAUGCCACGCAACCUGCACUGACGAAAGAAACGGAUGGGACAAAACCCCCCCGAGAAGGCUCCAACACUACUCUCGCCGCAUCCGGAAAUAAAACUCCGGUCGCUGUCCCUCGGGAAACCGUCACACCACCUGAUGGUGGCAAACAAACGCACAGCUUGCCCACGUCUCUUGUGCUUGAUGCCGAAACACCUCGUGUGACGCCUGGCCUUGCACACAUUCCGCAUGGCGUGACACCAGGCGUGCAGAACGAUGAGCCACGCAGUGUGGAGACCGACGCUGCAAUUCACACUGUCAAUGAUUCCGUCACAGCCGAGAUGUCCCACGCUGAUGCACCGGCAAAGAUACAACCAUCCCCCCACCGUUCUAGCGAACUUCCUUCUUAUGUGCCUGUUUACAGUCAGCCGUCCAUAGGUGGAAAAGCUCCGACUCCGCAAAAACUGAUUAAAGAAUUGCCGCUUCAGUCACCCGAUGCUCUUAACGCAGAACACGGCGUUUUAUCGGACAAGCUAGAAACAGGAAAGCUAAACGCUCCUUCUGAGGAAAGCACGCUCACUAUACUAUACGGUGUUCCUACCAUUACAACAACCACGAUCGUUCGACCUUUACAAACUGACACUCUCUCAAAAAGUGCAGAAACGCUGCAACAAAAUGAUAAUAAGCAGCAGCCAGAUUUUAAUAACAAACCUGGCUUUCAUACUUCUUCAGACCUUGAUGAGAAAUCGAGCCAUCACAUCAUCAGUGUAGCUGACAUAAAAACAGACAUCAGCGAUGGCUCUAAACCACAGCUGCAGGAAGAUAAAAAACACAAAGGCAAGAAAAAGAAAGGACACAAAGAAACGGGCACUGGCCAGGACGACCAACUUCAACGUGACAGACAACGGGAUGAGAGAAAAACUGCCAAGCCAAAAGAGGCGCAUGACGAGCAAGGCCUAAAAGAAUAUACUCAAGUCCUCGUCAAAGAAGAAACAUGUGUGAUCAGAAGCAGUGAGUACAUACGACACACUGACGAGAAAGCGCCGAAAAUACCUGAGACAUUCACUCCUGGAUACCAUGAAGAUCCAACGGCUGGAGGACACCUCUCAGACACAUCAGAUCUCAACAAGCCUGAUCAAAAUGAGCACCAGCCUGACCUCACGGACAGAGCGAAAGAAGGAAACAAAAGAGGUGAAAUCGCACAGCAUUGAGCCAAUGGGCCGAGACUAUGAUGAAGAACACCUAAUUUCAGAACUGACUGACAUAAUCAGGGAAUGUAGAAAAGAGCAUACCAAGCCAGACAUAGAAAGUUCGACUCAAGAGGAGCCCACUUCCGCUAUAAUUGGCUGGAAAGAGACACCUGAUAAGCCGAAACUGAUCACAAGAAGCCUGGCAAAAAAACAAAAGGCAAGCCAAAAAAGCCUUCUGAUGAGCCACAAGACCAGAAAGAACCAGAAACCCUCAUUAUCACUCAGGUGACUCGCAUCAUCCAGGAAGGCGACAAGGUGCCAGGGUUCCCAGGAGAGCCUAUGACACAAAGGAAGCCCACGAAGCUACCAAGCAGAGAGGGCACACCUGGAAAGGAACCCACUCCAACUAUCUUUGGCUGGAAA